GGGGGGGGGGGGGGGGGGGGGUCUGCCGAUGUGGCUGUUGAUGGCUCGCAGAAAAAGGGUUACCGUGCGGCGACGGAUUCUUGGCGGCAUGGUGGUGGCUGCUGGAGUGCUCUUGGAUAUGAGUUCCGGUUUUCUGGUUCUAGGCGUGAAAGUGAAGAAAAAGACGGGUGUCAUGCGGCGUUUUUCGGCGGGUUAGAGGCUGGGGCGGCGGUUUGAGUCAAGGGGAUAGGGUUCAACUAGGGUUUUUUGUUAUCCCUUAUCUGAAGAAGAAGAAGAAAGCAGCCAUGGUGUUCUAGGAUUUGUAGUCUAGUCUUGUCCAAUUGAAGAAGAAGGUCCCUUGUUGUUUUUUGGGUUACGAAAGAACUGAGCUCUGAAUUUGGACAAAAAAAUUAGGCCUAAAAUUAUGGUCUUGUUAUGAAAUAGAAGAUUCUUACACUUCUAUUUAAGGUGAAUGU
rnacentral:lncRNA from 1 species